UACAGAGGGGGCAAGCGUUAUUCGGAAUUAUUGGGCGUAAAGGGCGCGUAGGCGGCUUUUCAAGUGGCGGGUGAAGUCCCUCGGCUUAACCGAGGAACUGCCUGCCAGACUGGAUGGCUUGAGACCGGGAGAGGUGAGUGGAAUUCCCAGUGUAGCGGUGAAAUGCGUAGAUAUUGGGAGGAACACCAGUGGCGAAGGCGGCUCACUGGACCGGUACUGACGCUGAGGCGCGAAAGCGUGGGGAGCAAACAGG
rnacentral:rRNA from 1 species